GCGGAUCUUCAUUAGCUUGCUUUUGAAGAUCAGCGGCGGACGGGUGAGUAACACGUGGGCAACCUGCCUGUAAGACUGGGAUAACUUCGGGAAACCGGAGCUAAUACCGGAUAAUCCUUUCCCUCACAUGAGGGAAAGCUGAAAGACGGUUUCGGCUGUCACUUACAGAUGGGCCCGCGGCGCAUUAGCUAGUUGGUGAGGUAACGGCUCACCAAGGCAACGAUGCGUAGCCGACCUGAGAGGGUGAUCGGCCACACUGGGACUGAGACACGGCCCAGACUCCUACGGGAGGCAGCAGUAGGGAAUCUUCCGCAAUGGACGAAAGUCUGACGGAGCAACGCCGCGUGAACGAUGAAGGCUUUCGGGUCGUAAAGUUCUGUUGUCAGGGAAGAACAAGUACCGGAGUAACUGCCGGUACCUUGACGGUACCUGACCAGAAAGCCACGGCUAACUACGUGCCAGCAGCCGCGGUAAUACGUAGGUGGCAAGCGUUGUCCGGAAUUAUUGGGCGUAAAGCGCGCGCAGGCGGUUCCUUAAGUCUGAUGUGAAAGCCCCCGGCUCAACCGGGGAGGGUCAUUGGAAACUGGGGAACUUGAGUGCAGAAGAGGAGAGCGGAAUUCCACGUGUAGCGGUGAAAUGCGUAGAGAUGUGGAGGAACACCAGUGGCGAAGGCGGCUCUCUGGUCUGUAACUGACGCUGAGGCGCGAAAGCGUGGGGAGCGAACAGGAUUAGAUACCCUGGUAGUCCACGCCGUAAACGAUGAGUGCUAAGUGUUAGAGGGUUUCCGCCCUUUAGUGCUGCAGCAAACGCAUUAAGCACUCCGCCUGGGGAGUACGGCCGCAAGGCUGAAACUCAAAGGAAUUGACGGGGGCCCGCACAAGCGGUGGAGCAUGUGGUUUAAUUCGAAGCAACGCGAAGAACCUUACCAGGUCUUGACAUCCUCUGACAACCCUAGAGAUAGGGCGUUCCCCUUCGGGGGACAGAGUGACAGGUGGUGCAUGGUUGUCGUCAGCUCGUGUCGUGAGAUGUUGGGUUAAGUCCCGCAACGAGCGCAACCCUUGAUCUUAGUUGCCAGCAUUCAGUUGGGCACUCUAAGGUGACUGCCGGUGACAAACCGGAGGAAAGGGGGGGAUGACGUCAAAUCAUCAUGGCCCCUUAUGACCUGGGGUACACACGUGCUACAAUGGAAGGGAACAAAAGGUCCCCCAAACCCCCGAGGGCGAGCCAAUCCCCUAAAUCCUUUCUCAGUUGGGAUUGGAGGCGGCAACU
rnacentral:rRNA from 2 species